rnacentral:tRNA from 1 species
CGGGAAGUAGCUCAGCUUGGUAGAGCACUUGGUUUGGGACCAAGGGGUCGCGAGGUUCAAAUCCUGUCUUCCCGA